rnacentral:ncRNA from 1 species
AUGGGGGUCUGGGAAAAGUUAUAUUUUAUUUUUAAUGACUUUACCACUCUGAAAUCGGUGUAAUCGGACAUAGGGCCCAACAUCUGGAAGAGAAACACAAGUCUUGCGGUGUUUGGUGCCCCCUCGACGACCAUUGAAAAUAUGGAGAACUAAGUACCAUCCAUGCCCGAUCAUACUCAUAUCUGCCUCC